rnacentral:hammerhead_ribozyme from 1 species
AGUCGAAACGACCCCCUUCGGGGGGUCGUCUCCCCGGAGCCAAACCCAACACCGGGGGCUGACGAGACUUAGCCGGCC